rnacentral:rRNA from 1 species
UACGUAGGUGGCAAGCGUUGUUCGGAAUUACUGGGCGUAAAGCGCACGUAGGCGGAUUUUUAAGUCAGGGGUGAAAUCCCGAGGCUCAACCUCGGAACUGCCUUUGAUACUGGAGAUCUUGAGUUCGGAAGAGGUUGGUGGAACAGCUAGUGUAGAGGUGAAAUUCGUAGAUAUUAGCUAGAACACCAGUGGCGAAGGCGGCCAACUGGUCCGAUACUGACGCUGAGGUGCGAAAGCGUGGGGAGCAAACAGG